rnacentral:rRNA from 1 species
ACGGGUGAGUAACGCGUGGGAACGUGCCUUUCGGUUCGGAAUAACUCAGGGAAACUUGAGCUAAUACCGGAUACGCCCUUCGGGGGAAAGAUUUAUUGCCGAAAGAUCGGCCCGCGUCCGGUUAGCUAGUUGGUGUGGUAAUGGCGCACCAAGGCGACGAUCGGUAGCUGGUCUGAGAGGAUGAUCAGCCACACUGGGACUGAGACACGGCCCAGACUCCUACGGGAGGCAGCAGUGGGGAAUAUUGGACAAUGGGCGCAAGCCUGAUCCAGCCAUGCCGCGUGAGUGAUGAAGGCCCUAGGGUUGUAAAGCUCUUUCGCCAGGGACGAUAAUGACGGUACCUGGAUAAGAAGCCCCGGCUAACUUCGUGCCAGCAGCCGCGGUAAUACGAAGGGGGCUAGCGUUGUUCGGAAUCACUGGGCGUAAAGCGCACGUAGGCGGAUCUUUAAGUCAGGGGUGAAAUCCCGAGGCUCAACCUCGGAACUGCCUUUGAUACUGGAGGUCUCGAGUUCGGGAGAGGUGAGUGGAACUGCGAGU